rnacentral:rRNA from 1 species
AUUGAACGCUGGCGGCAUGCCUUACACAUGCAAGUCGAACGGUAACAGGUUAAGCUGACGAGUGGCGAACGGGUGAGUAAUGUAUCGGAACGUGCCCAGUCGUGGGGGAUAACUGCUCGAAAGAGCAGCUAAUACCGCAUACGACCUGAGGGUGAAAGCGGGGGAUCGCAAGACCUCGCGCGAUUGGAGCGGCCGAUAACAGAUUAGGUAGUUGGUGAGGUAAAGGCUCACCAAGCCGGCGAACUGUAGGUGGUCUGAGAGGACGACCAGGCACACUGGGACUGAGACACGGCCCAAACUCCUACGGGGGGCAGCAGUGGGGAAGUUUGGACAAUGGGCGCAAGCCUGAUCCAGCCAUGCCGCGUGCGGGAAGAAGGCCUUCGGGUUGUAAACCGCUUUUGUCAGGGAAGAAAAGGUUCUGGCUAAUACCUGGGACUCAUGACGGUACCUGAAGAAUAAGCACCGGCUAACUACGUGCCAGCAGCCGCGGUAACAC